UCUCCGUAGGUGAACCUGCGGAGGGAUCAUUACAGAGUUCAUGCCCUACCGGGUCGAUCUCCCACCCUAUGUUAUUAUUACUUUGUUGCUUUGGCGGGCCGUUAGGCUCCGGCCCGACUACCGGCCCCGGCUGGUAAGCGCCCGCCAGAGGACCCAAAACCCUGAAUAUUAGUGUCGUCUGAGUACUAUAUAGUAGUUAAAACUUUCAACAACGGAUCUCUUGGUUCUG
rnacentral:misc_RNA from 1 species